UACAGAGGUCCCAAGCGUUGUUCGGAUUCACUGGGCGUAAAGGGGGCGUAGGUGGUGAGGUAAGUCGGAUGUGAAAUCUCCGAGCUCAACUCGGAAAUGGCAUUGGAAACUACCUUGCUCGAGGGUUGGAGGGGGGACUGGAAUGCUUGGUGUAGCAGUGAAAUGCGUAGAUAUCAAGCGGAACACCAGUGGCGAAGGCGAGUCCCUGGACAACUCCUGACACUGAGGCACGAAAGCUAGGGGAGCAAACAGG
rnacentral:rRNA from 1 species